rnacentral:tRNA from 1 species
AUUUUAAUAGCUUAUUUAUAAAGUAUAAUAUUGAAGAUAUUAAGAGGGCUUUAGCCUUAAAAUAUUUA